GUCACCUCUGGCCCGCGCCCGUCGAUAGCCCACAACAAACUCUUUUAAACCGUGUCCUGUCUGAAUAAACCAAAAAAUUAAGCACAAAACUUUCAACAACGGAUCUCUUGGUUCUGGCAUCGAUGAAGAACGCAGCGAAAUGCGAUAAGUAAUGCGAAUUGCAGAAUUCCGUGAGUCAUCGAAUCUUUGAACGCACAUUGCGCCCUCUGGUAUUCCGGAGGGCAUGCCUGUUCGAGCGUCAUUAUCAACCCUCAAGCCCCGG
rnacentral:rRNA from 1 species